ensembl:lncRNA
CUUUGUUGUCUGUGCAGCGCUCCAUUUCUCUCUCUUUCUCGCUUACUCAGAAAAUGACAGGAAGUGUAAAAGGAAGGGAAGUUGCUUCUCGCUUUGUGUACGUGUUUUGAAAUGUUGCGGCCAGCCUCUUCUUAAAUUACGAACUCUAUCGUGAGAACAUCAAAAAGUCCAGCGACGGCUUCUCUGAUGGGCAGCGGCACGAGUGUGAAUGGAUGUGUUUGCUGAAAACUCGAGAGGGAAGAAGACACCACGCGCCACGAGUCAUGCCUGUGCCAGUGUGAACAAGUACCUGUGCCUGAGCGCGCGCGUGUGUGUGUGUGCGUGAUCUUAUGGUACAACCAUGGCAAGAGCAGCACUUACUAAACUUCUUCUCCUCGUGAUUCUUGCCUUCAUCAUCUGCCUCCCGGAAUUUUUCACAUUUUACCAAGUAACAAAAGUGAACUUCUUCUGCCUUCCCUACCGACCCUGCGAACAAGGAAAUCAGGUGAAAGAGGGAGAAAAUGGAAAGGCUGGAAAUGAUGACGCUAAGAGAGGCCAUAUGUGUGACCCAUCUCAGACUCCAGAUCAGGAAAAAUGGGAGCAAGCGUGCAUACGAGAAGAUCAAAGCAAUACAACAGAUUCGGCUUCAGACGUCAGGCGAGGCAGAGAUGAUCCAAAAGCGAGGUGGUUCAUGUGUGAGACAGACAUGGAAAUGGCAGAAGUACACAGAAAUAUCUCAACUUCAGCUUACGAGUCACAUCUGGAGGUGUCAGCCGAGCUUCAUCUGCCCAACGCAGAGACCCUGAAUCUCACCUUGUACGGCCGCAGCAAUCACAGUUCCUUACACCUCUACCCACCUGAGGAGGAGGAGGAGGAGGAGGAGGAAAAUAAGGGUGGUGAUGAAGGACAGAGGAAGGCAUUCUACUGCUGUCUCCCUUUCCUGCCCAACUCUGAAUCGCCCAAUCAAAGCCGCUGUCUCCUUUGGUUCGCCAAUCAAACGGUUUGGAAUUCAACAGCAAAGGAAAAGCUGCCAUGGAAACGGACACAGAAAGAUGAGUGGCAGUGUGCGCUCAGAGUGGUCUGGCUGGCUCUGCUGUGUUUGGUGUUGCUGAGUAUAGUAACGAGUGUGAUCGGACAAAUCUACAAGAAAAGGCGUUUGUGCAGGAAGCCGAAGGUGCACCCUGAUGGCUUCAACUUAAUUACUCAGCAAUUAAAUGACGGUGCCAAAGAAACAGAAGUCAGCCCUCCUGAAGCAGGGACAAACCUCCACUUAUACGGGUUUCAUACCUGGUCAGGGCUCUCACCAAUUAAAGAAGUUGACAGUCAAAAUGACAUAUCAAUGUUAAUGGAUGGAAAUGCUGACCACUGCUAUACUGGUUUUCUGCAUCAUCGCAGCCAUCCCUCCGUCAGCUCCAUCAAAGAUGAGCCUGCUCGAUGACAGGCGAGCAGCCGGAGGAAGCUGGAGGAAAACAGCCGCCUCAUUUACCAGCAUUACUAAUGGUGAAAAUAAAGAUAUCUGAACCACCUACAUGUGCUUGUGAACUUAUUUUCAGCAUGUCAUCUCGGAAGCUUUGUCUAUGUUAGCACUUUAUUAGAGGACAGUCUCUACACAUUAUUAAACUAUCAAAAGUUAAAUAAAUGGAUUGGCCCUCGAACAUUUUUCACCCUGAAAGAACUAAAUUGUUUUGUAUUCUGAGUCAGAUGCAUGGCUGAUAAACAGCCUUACCCCGUCUGGUUAUAGCUGAAAGGAGCCAAAACAUUUUGACAGCACUGACUAAUGCUUAAUAGCUUUC